AGCCCAAUGAGGAAUUAGUGACCUCUUGAUAGGAAGUGCCGUAUGACACUUAUAACACCAGUUGUGCACACAUAGUCUUUUCCUAUUUCUUUUCUCUUGAUGUUACCCUCCUCAAAUCCUUUUAUAGGUUUGUGUUUUGAGGGUUCUCCAAAAGAAAGAACUAUGGAGUUCAGAGGACUUGUGGUUCGGCUGUGUGUGUGUGAUUUUAAAUGGGUCACUGAGGGCU